ensembl:lncRNA
CGGGGCUUCUCGCAAGGAAAAUUCCUCUGCGUCUUUCUCGUAUGACGCAUCAUCUCUUUCCGUCUUCGUUUAAUGCGCCUGCAUUACCUUCUCUCCCAUGAUGCAACACCUCUAGGCAAGCCCCUCACAUACCUACAGGAGCAGGUAUGUGAAAUGCUUCUUCGCUUAGGCUGCAAGGCCAGCAGAAGACACUGGAGAUUUGGCUCCCUCAUCUUGGUAUGCAUGGGUAAACAUGAAGACAAGGCGGGUAGUGGUACAAGAAGCAGGUUCCCCCCUGCACACCUUUUAGAAUGACUGCAUCCCUGCACACCGCAAAACCCUUACACCA